UCUUUCUCUGCUUCCAUGAUCGGAGCUUCUUCGGCUUCGUCUUUGUAAGUUUAUCAACCUCACUGACGCUCUGGUUUGAACUCUCAUCUCUUAGGUACUUUCUUCUUCAAUUUUCUUGAAAAAAAAAAAUCUUUUUAAAUCCUUCCGAUUUUAUCAACCUUUCUAAAUUUCUAGGUGAUCGGAAAAUCUAAUCAGCUACAAUCGAUUCUAAAAUCUAAUAAUAUCUAAUGUUGUGAAAUGAAAAUUUGGCAUCAAUGUAUCUACGGCGUGAUCUAUAUCACUCUAAAUUGAAAAUCAAGUUGGUCUGUAUAACAGUUCUAGUCAAGGGAGAGGUGGAUUGAAUUUGGCAUCUCAUUGGAGAAACAGCAAAUAGGGUUUAUACCUGCAAAAAUGUUGAGAAGUCAUCUGCGGGGAUAGCUCAGUUGGGAGAGCGUCAGACUGAAGAUCUGAAGGUCACGUGUUCGAUCCA
rnacentral:lncRNA from 1 species